GGGGGUGCAGCUCAGCGGUAGAGCACAUGCAUUGCAUGUAUGAGGCCUGGGUUUCAUCCCCGGAACCUCCA
rnacentral:tRNA from 1 species